UAAAAUACGCGAUUCAAAUUAAAAAUUUGAAGAAAAUCAAAUCGAAACGACACAAAACAAGAGGGACUAUUCGUGAAAAUAGACCAAAAGGCUGGACGCGCGGAUCCUUCCCCGGGUCGGGUCACCUGCGCGGGUUAUAUGGCCAAUACGGCGCCGUUUUGAGGCCAUUAGGAAAGGCCUCAAACGGCGUCGUUUUCCUCGUUAUAAAAUAGAAAAAAAAACCUAAAUCAACAGCCCUCUAUUUUGCGCCGCAUCAAGAAAACGAAAGCCCCCCUCCCAUCCAUUCAACUCCGGUCCGAACGGAGGAGGGACUCGGCGGCGCUCCAACUCCAGGUGUACGGGCGUACGAGGGUGUGGCGCGGUGCAAAGGCGUGAAGGCGUGGUCCCUGGCGGUGGCGUGGCUCGGCUCGGAGGCGUGGCUUUGGCGCGGAGGCGCCACACGCGCGCGGGGGAAACCUGGCUCAGUUGCGGCGCUGGAGGCUUACCCUAGCUACUAGGGUUUUCUGAUUUUGGUUUCUGCUAGGCUAGGUGUUGGGCCAUCGGGCCAUUAGGUUAGUUUGGGUUUAGUGUUUGGGCUAAGGUAGGGAUUUGGGCCAGGGUUAGGUGUUUUUGGACUGACGUUUAGUGGGCUUGUAAUACUGGACUUUUGGACAUUUAAUUAUCUUUUUUGUUUUUUAUUAUUUUUUUUUUGUGAUUUUAGGCCCGGGCAAAUUGGGCCUCUUACAAUAUGUUUGUUUAUUUUUAUUUUAACUUAACUUUUCUUUUAA